CCUUAAAGCUACUCUCAGUUCGGAUUGUAGGCUGAAACUCGCCUACAUGAAGCUGGAGUUACUAGUAAUCGCAGAUCAGAAUGCUGCGGUGAAUGCGUUCCCGGGUCUUGUACACACCGCCCGUCACCCCACGGGAGUUGGAGACGCCCGAAGCCGAUUAUCUAACCUUUUGGAAGAAGUCGUCGAAGGUGGAAUCAAUAACUGGGGUGAAGUCGUAACAAGGUAGCCGUAUCGGAAGGGGCGGCUGGAUCACCUCCUUUCUAAGGAGA
rnacentral:rRNA from 1 species